GCUGGGUUGGUGGCACCAGCCUGUAGUCCCAGCUACUCAGGAGGGAGGCUGAGACUGGAGGAUCACUUGAGCCCAGGAGUUCUGGGCUGUAGUGCACUAUGCCAGGUGUCUACACUGAAUUUGGCAUUGAUAUGGUGACCUCCCAGGAGCAAGGGACCACCAGGUUGCCUAAGAAGAGGUGAACUAGCCCAGGUUGGAAAUGAAACAGGUCAAAACUCCCAUGCUGUUCAGUAGUGGGAUCAUACUGUGAAUAGCCACUGAACUCCAGCCUGUACAACAUAGCCAGACCCUGUCUCUU
ensembl:misc_RNA Metazoa_SRP Metazoan signal recognition particle RNA